GUUUUGCUAUCAUCCAUUCCAACCAGCAGACCACAUCAACUAGGUAUGUGUCUGUUCCUGAUCCGUAGCUAAAAUUUGUAUUGAAUCACCCUGGACAGGCAAAGCAGCCCUGGGAGGCUUAGUAAAGGAUCACAUUUCUUUGCUGCUUUGCUGUUGCUUUGUCCCUGGCCAUACAGUGCCACAGUGUGUAGGAGGAGUGGUGAAAGUGGCUCCUGGGAACAUGCUGUGUGUGCGUGUAGCUUUUGGGAUGUGGAGGUGGAGACAACUUGUUCUGCUUUUUUCCAUUGUGCAUGGGUAUGUAACCCAGCUCUCAGCCUCCUCUACAAUAACGCUUUGUUUCCCUUAACCAACACCACUCUUUCAGUGAUGCAAAUAAUUUUAGUGCAUCCAAACAGGAAGUGGCUGAGUGUCUGAGUGUCUGAAUCAACAUCCUGGAGGCUGGGCCUUUGCCACCAGCACAAUUACUAAAUAGAGGAGUUGCCUAUGGAUGGAAGCACAGGUCUUGGAAAUGGCAGAGCCAGUAAGAUCAUGCCAGAAUGUGACCAUUGCCAAAUAAUACUGUUGCUUGGCCAGUUCAGCCCUGUUUGUGUGGCCACAAGCUGCUCCAUCUCAGCUUCUCUGUGCUGAUGCAAUCACAUUUCUUCUCUGUGGCACUGGGUUGGAAAGAGCAGAAUAGAGGGAUCAUCACUAUUGCUUUGGUGAAGGCAUUCAUAUCAGCAAAGAGAUGCCUCACAGAGAGACCCUGGUGGACUAGAGGGCUGGACAAUCACCACUGUAUGAAGUUUAACAAGAGCUGGAUUCUACACCCGGGAAGGGGCAACCCUGGCUAUACAUAAAGACUGGGGGAUGUGAGGCUGGAGAGUAUACAUUAUAAUAAUAAUAAUUAUUAGAGAGUAUACAAGAGAUAGCUACAAAGAUAGUGAAGGGUCUGGAGGACAAGACAUGUGAGGAGCAGCUGAGGUCCCUUGGUUUGCUCAGCCCAGAGCAGAGCAGGCUGAGGGGAGGCCUCAUGGCGGCCUGCAGCUUCCUCAUGAGGGGAGCGGAGGGGCAGGUGCUGAGCUCUGCUCUCUGGGGA
rnacentral:lncRNA from 1 species